rnacentral:rRNA from 1 species
GAGGAGAUGGGUUGCGGCGGAGGGGAGGAAAGAGAGGAAGAGGUGAUUGCUCCGGCCCGGUCCUCGUCGCUCCGGCCCCGCCGCCGCGCCUGUUCUUUGACACCCGAGAGGAGGCGUUUAGAGAUGGCCCUGCUGACAUCGGCCUCCUCCUAGGGGCCAGUUGCCGCGGGGCCCGCGAGUGACGGUUCUUCGGCGGCCUCCUCCUUGAGCUGGACCUGCUGGCGGCGACCUGCUUCUCGGGGCUUUUUUUAGGGGGUUGGUGGGGACGCGGUGGCGGAGAAGUGGAAGCUGGUGCCCAACGUUGCCAGUCUCCUGGUUCAACCUCGUAUGAUCCAUUUACCCGGAACGGCACUCAGCACCACGUUGUCACUGGAGCUAACCGUCCCGUUACCAGUCUAUGCUCAGUCGUGGUUUCUACUGACAUUCGUGAGUUUUUUCAAAUGGUGCGAUCUCGAUACAGUCCAACAUGCCCCCGUCAAUUACUUAUAUGAACACUGUGAAUAUGAGUCGUUACGGCUGUUUGUACCAAAUACUACUAUAACCACCAGACUUCGAAAUCUAGCAGCCCCGACGAGAGUAAGCAAGUUAAACGGUCACUAGGAAGGUAAGAUGACGACGAGUAAUAAUAGUAUACUUCCUCCGACUAGAUACAAGAGACAAACAACCCAGGAAGCACAGUAAUACUUGUUCCUUGUACAUAUUGGAAAGUUCAAGUGACUACACCAAUGGUGAUGUUGUGUGCAGGGAGAUUCCUGGUUCCCACCCGUACUAGAAGAUGUUCCAACAGACACUGAUAAUCAUGCCCUAGUUGAAACGCCACAGGGGUAGCGAAGUUCAGUUCGAUUAUCUCGAUUUACCCAUAGGUUAAAAUCUUUCGUGUGAAUUCUUUGUACGUGUGCACAGAAAUCUAGGAUACCUCGUAAGGAUUAUUACUGGUAGAUAAAUUGAUAGAACCUAGUAAUGGUAAUGUUUUACGUCGUACCGUAAGUAUUACAAGUCAAUAAGUAUUUACACCGUAAAUUAAUAAGAGAACCGUACUAUAAAUUCGUACAACGUAUAUGGUUAGACAACUAUUAAGUUAAUAACUAAGACUACAUGUUUGUACGUUUUGGUAACGGACAAACCUACUACGUGUACUCAUACAAAAACAAUCAAAAGCCACUACAUACAGCACUUCGCCCUGCCCGCCUGCCUCUGCCACGUGAAGCUGUUCUAGUGCCACACCAAGUUCUUCGAGUCGAUACCCGAGUCGGUCCUCGUGGCGCUGGGGCACGAGCCAGACGCAGUCCCAUAUGUACCCGCAGUGGUGGUCGGUCGAGCUGCUCGAGCGGCGGCUCUGGCGGCGGCGCGAGUGCCGGAGGGUCGGACUGAUACGGAGGGAGCGCCGUUCCUAACAACACGGGUUGGACGGCGGUUCACCUUUAUCAGACACACCGCGAACAUUUAUCUCUCGUAAGACCAUCUUUCGACUUUCUAAUCGUUCUGACCGAUUUAAGACUUGUACAAGGUACACUCUCUUUAUCGUACAACUAAAGUAGAACUUUAUUAGUAUCGACUCCCUGCUCGAAGCAUUGAUUCCCAGUACACAUCUCGACUUCCUUCUUCAACGCUCCGAACCUUGAGAGGAACAUUUCCCGAGUCCUGUCGUCACUCCUGUUACGGAGAAAUCAACAUUAACACUAUGAGGACUAGACGUUCAUUUGUGAGGACACUAUGAUUUACAACCAACAAUCAUGUCUCCACCACUGUAAUCAACCAAGAGACCAUAACUAAAGUACUAAACACCAAUUAUGUACUACAUUAUGUUAGGUGUGACGUAAUAUAAAGGUC